rnacentral:rRNA from 1 species
CCUACGGGGGGCAGCAGUGGGGGAUAUUGGACAAUGGGGGGAACCCUGAUCCAGCGACGCCGCGUGAGUGAAGAAGUAUUUCGGUAUGUAAAGCUCUGUCAGCAGGGAAGAAAGAAAUGACGGUACCUGACCAAGAAGCCCCGGCUAACUACGUGCCAGCAGCCGCGGGAAUACGUAGGGGGCAAGCGUUAUCCGGAAUUACUGGGUGUAAAGGGAGCGUAGACGGUUAAGUAAGUCUGGAGUGAAAGGCCGGGGCCCAACCCCGGGACUGCUCUGGAAACUAUUGAACUUGAGUGCAGGAGAGGUAAGCGGAAUUCCUAGUGUAGCGGUGAAAUGCGUAGAUAUUAGGAGGAACACCAGUGGCGAAGGCGGCUUACUGGACUGUAACUGACGUUGAGGCUCGAAAGCGUGGGGAGCAAACAGGAUUAGAUACCCGAGUAGUC